AGAAAUAUUUGGGUGAACAGAAAUUUACAAGACAUGUGCAAUGUAAAACAGGUUAUUGUAUAUACUGUAUGUAGACAGAUAUCAUAUACUGUAUGUAGACAAAUUAACUCAAAAUACAGUCCAAAAUAAAGAGUAUUUUAUUUAUGAAAGUGUAUUGAUAGUUAUUGCACGUGUAAGCCUACUUAACUACUGUACAUUAAGUGUAGACCUACAGAUUACGUUACUUACAGUUAUUAGGUUUUUUAACACUUUUGCUUCAUCAUUAGGGGGUUUUGUGUGUAGAUUGAGGGGGGAAAUUAUUUUAAACUAUUUUAACAUAAGGCUGCAGCAGAACAAAAAUUGUGAAAAUAGUGUAAGGGGUCUGAAUUCCUGAAUGCUUGGUUGUGUAGCUGGCAGUAUUGACAACAAUCAAACUAACUUAAUAUUCUGCUUUUUCAAUAGGGAAGGAAGGAAUACCUUCUGAAAUGGCACCCUUGCAGUUUAUGUGGAAAAAAAUGGAGAAGCACCUGGGUGGAGGAGGAUUCCUUCCUUAUGUAGUGUGUGUGUGUGUGUGUGUGUGUGUGUUUAAUAAACAGUUGUUACAAUGCCAAAUGUCUUCGUUGGACUUACUCUUUUAUGCACUUUCACAUACAACACAUUCUGUCAACAUCUGUGACGGAGGAGUCAUCACACAUUAAAGCUGAUUAAAACUGUUUUUGGGUACCAGUACUGUUGUCAAAUAUAAGUCCUUAUUGCAACAGGUUGCCCUCUUUUGUAUAUCCUGUUUAUUUUCAGUCAUCUUCAUCAUAGGAAUAUAAUCCCCCAGGCUCUGAAGCUGCACCAGCAAAUGCAGUAAACAGCUGCCUGGAGCAAUGUCUUGGAUGAACCUGGACUUGCAGUGAAAGCAUGCAGAAACCAUAAAAACAUCCAUGCUUCUCUUUAUGAUUCUUACAUGUGUGUUGUACUGAUUAAUUUAAUUUGACUAUCACCUGCUGUGUCAACUUGCAGGUGGCUGACAUCAUUUAAAACUAUCAUGCAGGUACAGUGGUUGUUAAGCUAAGAAAAAAUAAACAUUGUGUGACCUCAAUAAAAG
ensembl:lncRNA